rnacentral:rRNA from 1 species
GUCCACGCCGUAAACGAUGGGCACUAGGUGUGGGAGGUGUCGACUCCUCCCGUGCCGGCGCUAACGCAUUAAGUGCCCCGCCUGGGGAGUACGGCCGCAAGGCUAAAACUCAAAGGAAUUGACGGGGCCCGCACAAGCAGCGGAGCAUGUGGUUUAAUUCGACGCAACGCGAAGAACCUUACCUGGGCUUGACAUGUGGGUGACAGUCGUGGAAACACGAUCUUCCUUCGGGACACCCUCACAGGUGGUGCAUGGCUGUCGU